rnacentral:tmRNA from 1 species
ACCUUUGCAAACUGAACACGCAGGGCCUAUAUUGUAUGUGUCAGGCAACUGACUAUGGCAAUAAACGUUGUACGGAAUAGGCAUUUCGGACCCGGGGGCGGUACCCGGCGCCUCCACCAUAUUCGAAACGAGCAAACCCGUUUUUCAAAAGGCUCGUUUCCAACACCCUGCACGUCGGGGGUUGACCAGAAUGGGGGCGAAAUAGGAUCGACGAGUGUAAUAAAGGUACGAGCUUUUGCUCGGUAUUGUACCACCGUUAUCGGGCUAAUUUUGUAAAUGCAAACGAUAAUGAAGCAUUUGCGGUUGCCGCUUAAUCGCUAAGCAACCACGGGGUUCGGGGGCACCUAGCAACAGAAGCCCCCACU